AAGUCGUAACAAGGUUUCCGUAGGUGAACCUGCGGAAGGAUCAUUAUGAAUUUUUAUUUUUUUUAAGUGUUAUUGUGAAUAGAUAUGUGAGAGUGUUUUUUUUUUUUUGUUGUUGCUUUUUAUAAGGGGGGAAAGAUUUGAUUGAUUGCACUUGUGAGUAGUGAUUGGAGAUUACUGAGGUGAUUUGAUUACUACAGGGGGUGAUUAAUUAUGAUUUUUUACCUGAGGGGGGGCAGACAGCAGAGAAGAGAGCAACACACACACAUAUAAAAUAACAAGAACGAUUAAUAGAGUAGUAGUAGAGUGCUUUUAUAUAUAUUAUAUAAGCACACAACAAAACAAAAAAAAAAUACAACUUUUAACAAUGGAUCUCUAGGCUCUU
rnacentral:misc_RNA from 1 species